rnacentral:rRNA from 1 species
UGGAUCCAGACUUUGAUUCUGGCUCAGGAUGAACGCUGGCGGCGUGCCUAACACAUGCAAGUCGAACGAAGCUUGACGGAUGAUUUCUUCGGAAUGAAACCAGAUAUGACUUAGUGGCGGACGGGUGAGUAACACGUGAGCAACCUGCCUUUCAGAGGGGGAUAACGGCUGGAAACGGUCGCUAAUACCGCAUGAUGUGUUCGGAUGGCAUCAUCUGAACAUCAAAGAUUUAUCGCUGAAAGAUGGGCUCGCGUCUGAUUAGAUAGUUGGUGGGGUAACGGCCUACCAAGUCUACGAUCAGUAGCCGGACUGAGAGGUUGAACGGCCACAUUGGGACUGAGAUACGGCCCAGACUCCUACGGGAGGCAGCAGUGGGGAAUAUUGCACAAUGGGGGAAACCCUGAUGCAGCAACGCCGCGUGAAGGAUGACGGUUUUCGGAUUGUAAACUUCUUUUCUUAGUGACGAAGACAGUGACGGUAGCUAAGGAAUAAGCAUCGGCUAACUACGUGCCAGCAGCCGCGGUAAUACGUAGGAUGCAAGCGUUAUCCGGAUUUACUGGGUGUAAAGGGAGCGCAGGCGGGACUGCAAGUUGGAUGUGAAAUACCGUGGCUUAACCACGGAACUGCAUCCAAAACUGUAGUUCUUGAGUGAAGUAGAGGCAAGCGGAAUUCCGAGUGUAGCGGUGAAAUGCGUAGAUAUUCGGAGGAACACCAGUGGCGAAGGCGGCUUGCUGGGCUUUAACUGACGCUGAGGCUCGAAAGUGUGGGGAGCAAACAGGAUUAGAUACCCUGGUAGUCCACACUGUAAACGAUGAUAGCUAGGUGUGGGGGGGUCUGACCCCUUCCGUGCCGGAGUUAACGCAAUAAGCUAUCCACCUGGGGAGUACGACCGCAAGGUUGCAACUCAAAGGAAUUGACGGA